AGCGAACGCUGGCGGCAUGCUUUACACAUGCAAGUCGAACGGCAGCACGGGAGCUUGCUCCUGGUGGCGAGUGGCGAACGGGUGAGUAACAUAUCGGAACGUAUCCAAUAAUGGGGGAUAACUAAUCGAAAGGUUGGCUAAUACCGCAUACGCCCUGAGGGGGAAAGCUGGGGAUCUUCGGACCUAGCGUUGAUGGAGCGGCCGAUAUCUGAUUAGCUAGUUGGUGGGGUAAAGGCUCACCAAGGCGACGAUCAGUAGCUGGUCUGAGAGGACGACCAGACACACUGGAACUGAGACACGGUCCAGACUCCUACGGGAGGCAGCAGUGGGGAAGUUUGGACAAUGGGCGCAAGCCUGAUCCAGCCAUUCCGCGUGAGGGAAGAAGGCCUUCGGGUUGUAAAGCUCUUUCGCAAGGGAAGAAACGAUAGUGACGAAUAAUCACUGUUAAUGACGGUACCUUGAUAAGAAGCACCGGCUAACUACGUGCCAGCCGCCGCAGUAACAC
rnacentral:rRNA from 1 species